GAACGAGUCUUUCUCGAGGAACAAGUGAUUAUCAAAACAACGAGGAAUCGGUAGGUAAUUCAAAUAGUAUAUCCGUUACUUUGUAAAGGGUAGGUACUGUUUUCAUCGUACGAGAUAGAUUGGAACAUUUUUUGUGUUUAGUGUAAACGCGAUUGUGUUUAGUGUCACCGUUGAAUAAAAAUGUUUUCCAUCCGAGAAUAUCAUGAUAUAUUGAUUUUUUAUGGAGAAGCGCAAUGCAACAGUAAUUUAGCUGUCCAAAUUUAUGUGCAUCGGUAUCCCGAAAGGCGAGCUCCUAAUCCUCGAACUUUUGUGAAUGUUUCUCAAAGAUUAUUAGAAACGGGUUCUGUUGUAC
rnacentral:lncRNA from 1 species